rnacentral:tRNA from 1 species
GGUAGAGCGCGAGGACUUCAAACCCGAAGUUGCCCAAAAU